UGUGGACGGGAUAAGUGCUGAAAGCAUCUAAGCAUGAAGCCCCCCUCAAGAUGAGAUUUCCCAAUAGAUCCCUCAGAGAUGAUGAGGUAGAUAGGUUCGGCAUGUAAGUCUAGCGAUAGAUGUAGUGGACGAAUACUAAUGGAUCAAAUGACUUAUUCA
rnacentral:rRNA from 1 species